UCUCUACCCGUGUCAGGUGCCGCGUGAAUACGGAGGGGGCUAGCGUUGUUCGGAGGUACUGGGCGGAAAGCGCACGAUGGCGGAACAGAAAGUGAGAGGUGAAAUCCCAGGGCUCAACCUUGGAACUGCCUUUGAAACUCCUGUUCUUGAGGUCGAGAGAGGUGAGUGGAAUUCCGAGUGUAGAGGUUAAAUUCGUAGAUAUUCGGAGGAACACCAGUGGCGAAGGCGGCUCACUGGCUCGAUACUGACGCUGAGGUGCGAAAGCGUGUGGAGCAAACAGGAUUAGAUACCCGAGUAGUC
rnacentral:rRNA from 1 species